AUGACAAUGGCGGCCGGAAGAGAUCAGAGGGUCGAAGGGGUGAGGCAGUACAACAGGUCCAGGGUGCCUCGACUGAGAUGGACGCCCGACCUCCACCGCUGCUUCGUCCACGCCAUACACACUCUUGGAGGCCAGUACAGGGCUACACCUAAGAGAGUUUUGCAGCUGAUGGGGGUGGCAGGGCUCACCAUAUCUCAUGUCAAGAGCCAUCUACAGAUGUACAGGAACAUGAGAGGUAAUGAUCUUGACAUGAUGCAAGGCAUUCAGCAAAUGGAUCAGGAGCACACAUUCGCAGGAGGAGGCAUGGAAGUUUGGACAGAUAUGCAGCAAGUUCAUCAUCAUAGUGAGUACUGUGAUGGACCCUAUUGCAGGUGCCACUCUACAAAGCAUACAAAGGGGUCACUGCUCCACCACCCCCAACUGAAAAGGCCAUCCGAGAUGGAGACCGCACACGAGUCAGGAGCGAGCCCACAGAAAAACUUGGUCAUCAGGGGCCAAGGAAUAUGCGAGAGGGACGUGACCUCGGGCACGUACGUUCUCGCCGCUGCAGGCCAAGCAUACUACUACUCCCACUGCAUGCAGACGACGACGACGACGCACGAGCAGGGCCACCACCUGCCGCCGCGCUCCCGGACAUGGCAGCGCACACCUGCAGCAGGCGGUGGUGGCGAACAAUCCGCUUGCCCCGGCUGCACGCCCGCGCCGCGGGAGCGGGAGCGGGACCUCGCCGCGCCAAGGCGUGGUGCUGGUGGUGACCUCGCACCCUACUGCGAGGAGCGGAGCGGCGAGCUAGUCCAUGGCCACCACGGUGUCGCGCCGGCCAGCCACGGGAGGCCGAGGGGCACGGCGGCGGAGCGGGCCGACGGCGAGCCGUCUCUGUCGUUGACGCUGGAGCUGGACUCGGGGCGCCUCGGCGGGAGCGGCGCGGGGCAGUGCCGCACCGACGUCAGCGAGCAGGGCAGCUUCCUGACGUCGUCGGCGGCGAGUCUUUGCGGCUCCUGCUCGGGGCGGCGCCGCGGCGGUGUUAGCCUGGACCUGUCCCUUUCGCUGUACAACUGA
rnacentral:rRNA from 1 species